rnacentral:rRNA from 1 species
CCUACGGGGCGCAGCAGUGAGGAAUAUUGGUCAAUGGACGAGAGUCUGAACCAGCCAAGUAGCGUGAAGGAUGACUGCCCUAUGGGUUGUAAACUUCUUUUAUAUGGAAAUAAAAUGUUCCACGUGUGGGAUUUUGUAUGUACCAUAUGAAUAAGGAUCGGCUAACUCCGUGCCAGCAGCCGCGGUAAUACGGAGGAUCCGAGCGUUAUCCGGAUUUAUUGGGUUUAAAGGGAGCGUAGGUGGAUUGUUAAGUCAGUUGUGAAAGUUUGCGGCUCAACCGUAAAAUUGCAGUUGAAACUGGCAGUCUUGAGUACAGUAGAGGUGGGCGGAAUUCGUGGUGUAGCGGUGAAAUGCUUAGAUAUCACGAAGAACUCCGAUUGCGAAGGCAGUUCACUGGACUGCAACUGACACUGAGGCUCGAAAGUGUGGGUAUCAAACAGGAUUAGAUACCCCAGUAGUC